GACAAUUUUUUGUCUGCCAUUAUAGUUGGGCUUUUUUAAUCAUGAUGUUGUAAGUGUAUCGUUAUUAUUUUUUAAUCUCAUACGAUACAAUGUGAAAUACAUGAAUAUGGAUUUUAUGUUUCGAAAUUUGGUUGUCCACCAUUCGUUUUCUGCAGGAAGUGAACCAGCCAGUUAUAUUUCCUUAAUUUUUUAUGCUAGUAUUUUGCUUAUACCAUACAUCUUUGCGCACAACGAAUAAGCAUAGUUUGGGUUUGUGACAGCUGCAUUUACAUUGUGUACAUUUUACUGUAUAAUUCUAAUAACGGAUCUACAAACGCCAGAAAUCUUUGCCGUGGAGCCUCUCAGAACAAGACAACUAUUGAUAUUGG